rnacentral:rRNA from 1 species
GAUGAACGCUGGCGGCGUGCCUAAUACAUGCAAGUCGAGCGAACAGACGAGGAGCUUGCUUCUCUGACGUUAGCGGCGGACGGGUGAGUAACACGUGGAUAACCUACCUAUAAGACUGGGAUAACUUCGGGAAACCGGAGCUAAUACCGGAUAAUAUAUUGAACCGCAUGGUUCAAUAGUGAAAGACGGUUUUGCUGUCACUUAUAGAUGGAUCCGCGCCGCAUUAGCUAGUUGGUAAGGUAACGGCUUACCAAGGCGACGAUGCGUAGGCGACCUGAGAGGGUGAUCGGCCACACUGGAACUGAGACACGGUCCAGACUCCUACGGGAGGCAGCAGUAGGGAAUCUUCCGCAAUGGGCGAAAGCCUGACGGAGCAACGCCGCGUGAGUGAUGAAGGUCUUCGGAUCGUAAAACUCUGUUAUUAGGGAAGAACAAAUGUGUAAGUAACUAUGCACGUCUUGACGGUACCUAAUCAGAAAGCCACGGCUAACUACGUG